rnacentral:rRNA from 1 species
UACGAAGGGGGCUAGCGUUGCUCGGAAUCACUGGGCGUAAAGGGUGCGUAGGCGGGUCUUUAAGUCAGGGGUGAAAUCCUGGAGCUCAACUCCAGAACUGCCUUUGAUACUGAAGAUCUUGAGUUCGGGAGAGGUGAGUGGAACUGCGAGUGUAGAGGUGAAAUUCGUAGAUAUUCGCGAGAACACCAGUGGCGAAGGCGGCUCACUGGCCCGAUACUGACGCUGAGGCACGAAAGCGUGGGGAGCAAACAGG